ACCUGGCUGGCUCAGUCGGUAGAGCAUGCAACUUUUGAUCUUGAGGUUGUGAGUUCCAGACCCAUGCUGGGUG
rnacentral:tRNA from 1 species